rnacentral:rRNA from 1 species
GAUGAACGCUGGCGGCGUGCCUAAUACAUGCAAGUCGAGCGAACGGACGAGAAGCUUGCUUUUCUGAUGUUAGCGGCGGACGGGUGAGUAACACGUGGAUAACCUACCUAUAAGACUGGGAUAACUUCGGGAAACCGGAGCUAAUACCGGAUCAUAUUUUGAACCGCAUGGUUCAAAAGUGAAAGACGGUCUUGCUGUCACUUAUAGAUGGAUCCGCGCUGCAUUAGCUAGUUGGUAAGGUAACGGCUUACCAAGGCAACGAUGCAUAGCCGACCUGAGAGGGUGAACGGCCACACUGGAACUGAGACACGGGCCAGACCCCUACGGGAGGCAGCAGUAGGGAAUCUUCCGCAAUGGGCGAAAGCCUGACGGAGCAACGCCGCGUGAGUGAUGAAGGUCUUCGGAUCGUAAAACUCUGUUAUUAGGGAAGAACAUAUGUGUAAGUAACUGUGCACAUCUUGACGGUACCUAAUCAGAAAGCCACGGCUAACUACGUG